rnacentral:rRNA from 1 species
GACGAACGCUGGCGGCGUGCUUAACACAUGCAAGUCGAACGAAGUGGCGAACGGGUGAGUAACGCGUAAUCAACCUGCCCUUCAGAGGGGGACAAAAGGUGGAAACGACUGCUAAUACCGCAUACUGAUGGGGGGUAUGGCGUCUGAUUAGCUAGUGGGAGGGGUAACGGCCCAGCAAGGCGAGGAUCAGUAGACGGUCGGAGAGGAUGAACGGCCACAUUGGGACUGAGACACGGCCCAGAGUCAUACGGGAGGCAGCAGUAGGGAAUCUGCCGCAAUGGACGAAAGUCUGACGGAGCAACACCGCGUGAGUGAUGAGGGCCUUCGGGUUGGAAAGCUCUGUUAUUCGGGACGCGGUACCGGAAUAGAAAGCCACGGCUAACUACGUGCCAGCCGCCGCGGUAAUAC